rnacentral:rRNA from 1 species
CUCCUACGGGGGGCAGCAGUGGGGGAUAUUGGACAAUGGGGGAAACCCUGAUCCAGCGAUGCCGCGUGAGGGAAGAAGGUUUUCGGAUUGUAAACCUCUGUGGAGGGGGACGAUAAUGACGGUACCCCUUUAGGAAGCCACGGCUAACUACGUGCCAGCAGCCGCGGUAAUACAUAGGGGGCAAGCGUUAUCCGGAAUUAUUGUGUGUAAAGGGUGCGUAGACGGGAAAUUAAGUUAGUUGUGAAAUCCCCAGGCUCAACUUGGGAAUUGCAACUAAAACUGGUUUUCUUGAGUACUGGAGUGGA